GACGAACCGUGCGAACGUUAUUCGGAAUCACUGGGCUUAAAGCGCGUGUAGGCGGGACGGCACGUCGGUCGCUGAAAGCCCCCCGGCUCAACCGGGGAACGGGCGCCGAUACGACCGCCCUGGAGGAACGUAGGGGGGACCUGGAACUUCCGGUGGAGCGGUGAAAUGCGUUGAGAUCGGAAGGAACGCCCGUGGCGAAAGCGAGGUCCUGGACGUUUUACUGACGCUGAGACGCGAAAGCCAGGGGAGCGAACGGG
rnacentral:rRNA from 1 species